AGAGUGGUCAAAGAGGGAGGGGAACUCAGGUGGAUCCAUUCUGGGCGCUGUAGUCUGGAAGAGAUUCACUUGAACAAGGAGGAUUUCCACUCUGUUCCUCUUAAACUGCCUAAAGUUGGGGUUUUAAAGAAAAGAUUUGUUAAAAGGCUAGGCUGGAGUUUGUGGCCAUUGAACAUGGGCAGCUGGGCAGGAGGCUGCAGCUCCCCUGCGCCCCCCCCGUCCUCCCCCCCCCGGGGUGGACAUGGGUUGUUCUGCCUUGGUUUCAUUGCUGGAGUUUAUCUGGUUUGGUUUAUUCAGGAACUUUUUCACUCUCGUUCCAGGUGGGUCACCGUAUGUCUCCGCUUGCCUUCACGGGGAUAUUCCAAAGUUCAGACAAAAUUACAAGGAUUUGAAUGUCUUCUGGAAGAAGUUACGGAUUCUUGGAGAAAGUUUUCCCGGCAGGCGGGCAGGUGCCCUUUAGGGAGGAGGAGGAGGAGGAAGAAGCACAGCGAUGGAGAGGGAGGACCGGUGGUUGCUUCUCUGCUCUCGCCACUGAUGGAAAAGAGAGGAAGGCAGGAACGAAAAGAAAAGCUGCUGCCGGGCAGGGAGGAAGCCAGAGUGGAGCCGUUUCCCCUUCUUUUUGGCUUCUCGGCUGGAGUGCUGCAAAAUCCAGGCUCGUGCGGGAGGGCCUCUUUUCCCAGCGAGGGAAGCAAAAAGGAGAAGACUUUGGAGGAGGAGAAGCCAAAGGCCGGCCAGGGAGCCACAGCAGCGGCUGCGGGAGGGAUGUGCGGCUGGCCGUUGGGCGUCUUCCCGCCAGGGACCUCUUUGUUUUGGGGUGUAGAUUUCAGGGCCAGGCCUGCCUGCGGUCUGGAAGAAGAGGAGGGCAGGCGGCAUUUCCAGGCCCUCUUCGGCCGAGAGCAACUGGCCAGCAGACCCUCCUGGGGCCUGAGGGGAGCUGCCCCGGACGGAUGUCCCCACUUCCUGCUGCGCUGCUGAAAAGGGGGCCUUGGGCUUCUUGACCCUCCUCCUCGGAGCCUCUCCUUGCGUUUGCUGGGUUCCCCUCUUUCUCCCAGAGGGCCCCCCCGCCCCGACUGCCUCUCCACUUGCCCUCUGGUCUGCUCCUCCUCCUCCUCCCAUCAUUCCUCUUUCCACUUGGUGCCUGGUCUCUUCCCAGCCUUGCCUUGCCGGCCGAGAGCAACUGGCCAGCAGACCCUCCCGGGGCCUGAGGGGAGCUGCCCCGGAGGGAUGUCCCCACUUCCUGCUGCUCUGCUGAAAAGGGGGCCUUGGGCUCCCCAGGCUUCUUGACCCUCCUCCUCGGAGCCUCUCCUUGCGUUUGCUGGGUUCCCCUCUUUCUCCCAGAGGGCCCCCCCGCCCCGACUGCCUCUCCACUUGCCCUCUGGUCUGCUCCUCCUCCUCCUCCCAUCAUUCCUCUUUCCACUUGGUGCCUGGUCUCUUCCCAGCCUUGCCUUGCCUUGCCUUCCUGCUUUGCCUCUUCCUCCCUGCCUCUGCUGUCAACCAGCCCCUCUCCUCCCCUCAACAUCAUCCUCUCCUCCUCCUCCUCCUCCAUCGUUGGCUUGGGCUUCCUUCCCUUCGGCCUUCCUCCCCAACUCUUUCCCUCCUCUUGCUCGGCUCCUUCUUUUUAAAUCCCUCCCUCUCUCUUCCCCGUCUCCUUUUGCCUUCCUGCUUUGCCUCUUCCUCCCUGCCUCUGCUGUCAACCAGCCCCUCUCCUCCCCUCAACAUCAUCCUCUCCUCCUCCUCCUCCUCCAUCGUUGGCUUGGGCUUCCUUCCCUUCGGCCUUCCUCCCCAACUCUUUCCCUCCUCUUGCUCGGCUCCUUCUUUUUAAAUCCCUCCCUCUCUCUUCCCCGUCUCCUUCCCCACCAGUCACUUCUGCUCUCUUAAAUUCCCCUCCCUUCUCCUCUCUCCCCCACCCCCUGUUCCUCCUCCUCCUCCUCCUCCUCCUCUGUCCAUUCAACUCCUCUCCUCUCCUCCAGGCUCU
ensembl:lncRNA